UGCCUAAUACAUGCAAGUCGAACGAACUCUGGUAUUGAUUGGUGCUUGCAUCAUGAUUUACAUUUGAGUGAGUGGCGAACUGGUGAGUAACACGUGGGAAACCUGCCCAGAAGCGGGGGAUAACACCUGGAAACAGAUGCUAAUACCGCAUAACAACUUGGACCGCAUGGUCCGAGUUUGAAAGAUGGCUUCGGCUAUCACUUUUGGAUGGUCCCGCGGCGUAUUAGCUAGAUGGUGGGGUAACGGCUCACCAUGGCAAUGAUACGUAGCCGACCUGAGAGGGUAAUCGGCCACAUUGGGACUGAGACACGGCCCAAACUCCUACGGGAGGCAGCAGUAGGGAAUCUUCCACAAUGGACGAAAGUCUGAUGGAGCAACGCCGCGUGAGUGAAGAAGGGUUUCGGCUCGUAAAACUCUGUUGUUAAAGAAGAACAUAUCUGAGAGUAACUGUUCAGGUAUUGACGGUAUUUAACCAGAAAGCCACGGCUAACUACGUGCCAGCAGCCGCGGUAAUACGUAGGUGGCAAGCGUUGUCCGGAUUUAUUGGGCGUAAAGCGAGCGCAGGCGGUUUUUUAAGUCUGAUGUGAAAGCCUUCGGCUCAACCGAAGAAGUGCAUCGGAAACUGGGAAACUUGAGUGCAGAAGAGGACAGUGGAACUCCAUGUGUAGCGGUGAAAUGCGUAGAUAUAUGGAAGAACACCAGUGGCGAAGCGGCUGUCUGGUCUGUAACUGACGCUGACGCUCGAAAGUAUGGGUAGCAAACAGGAUUAGAUACCCUGGUAGUCCAUACCGUAAACGAUGAAUGCUAAGUGUUGGAGGGUUUCCGCCCUUCAGUGCUGCAGCUAACGCAUUAAGCAUUCCGCCUGGGGGAGUACGGCCGCAGGCUGAAACUCAAAGGGAUUUGACGGGGGCCGC
rnacentral:rRNA from 2 species